ACUCAUUCGUCAUCUCACACUUCCUGAUGGAGUGCCGGGACACCCCGCGAUGGCAAGCUCCUUACAAGAGCUGAACCCCACUACCAGGAGGAGCUUUGGGGUGCCAGGCAGCUCAGAGUGCAAGGACCUGGUCCAGAGGGAAGAGAGGAGUGAGGCAGAGCCUGAGACCCAGGAAAGAAAGCUCGCUCCCGGGACCCC